GGAGUUUCCUCCAUCACCUUCAGACCAUCAGAGCAUUUUGGUGUCAUUAUCAACACGAUGUGUGUGGAAAGGAACUGUGUGUGAAAGGGCCCAUCUUUUUCGAAUAAAAUACUAUGGGAGUUUUGACAAACCUUUGGGGCGGUUUUUACGAGGUCAUCUUUUUGAUCAGAAUUACCGCUGCCGUUCAUGUGAGAUGCCAUCAGAAGCUCACGUUUACUGUUAUACUCAUCGGCAAGGUAGCCUUACAAUGUCUGUUAAGAAACUCCCGGAGUUUCUUUUACCAGGGGAACGUGAAGGCAAAAUUUGGAUGUGGC
rnacentral:misc_RNA from 1 species